UGAGACACGGCCCAAACUCCUACGGGAGGCAGCAGUGGGGGAUAUUGGACAAUGGGGGGAACCCUGAUCCAGCGACGCCGCGUGAGUGAAGAAGUAUCUCGGUAUGUAAAGCUCUAUCAGCAGGGAAGAAGAAAUGACGGUACCUGAGUAAGAAGCCCCGGCUAACUACGUGCCAGCAGCCGCGGUAAUACGUAGGGGGCAAGCGUUAUCCGGAAUUACUGGGUGUAAAGGGAGCGUAGACGGUGAUGUAAGUCUGGAGUGAAAGGCGGGGGCCCAACCCCCGGACUGCUCUGGAAACUAUGUGACUGGAGUGCAGGAGAGGUGAGCGGAAUUCCUAGUGUAGCGGUGAAAUGCGUAGAUAUUAGGAGGAACACCAGUGGCGAAGGCGGCUCACUGGACUGUAACUGACGUUGAGGCUCGAAAGCGUGGGGAGCAAACAGGAUUAGAUACCCUGGUAGUCCACGCCGUAAACGAUGAUCACUAGGUGUGGG
rnacentral:rRNA from 1 species